UGGUGGAGUGAUUUGUCUGGUUAAUUCCGUUAACGAACGAGACCUCGACCUGCUAAAUAGUGCGGCUCACGCUUCGGCUUGGGUGCGCGCUUCUUAGAGGGACUAUCGGUUUCUAGCCGAUGGAAGUUCGAGGCAAUAACA
rnacentral:rRNA from 1 species